GCACCCAACGGAGAUGGCAUUCCUCCGCUAACCGCCGCGCUCUGCGGCUGAUGAUGCCUACAAGUUC
rfam:Candidimonas bauzanensis strain CGMCC 1.10190 genome assembly, contig: Ga0070552_108